CAGUUUUCAUUGCAAAUAAAUCAUGGUUUUGACUAUUCAUGUUGGAAAAGGGUAAAAGGGCAUUUAGCAUGUAGAAAAAUAUUCAAAAACAAUAAGAAAAUGAGUUAAGAACUGGAAAAUAAUUUUACACUUGUGGAAAAAAAAAUAUUCCUAAACAUAUGCGUUAACAGAGUUAUUUAAAGCCCUGAAUGGAUAAAAGUAGUAAUUCAAUUCAAUUUCACAAAAAUCGAGUUCCAAAAUAGAUAAAGCUUUAUUACAGGCAUUAAUGGAAUGCUAAAGAAGGAAGAAGCCUGAGAUCCACAUGGUAAACAUUCUAAAGUCAUUGACAGUCUGGGGAGGCAAGAAUCAUACUCUUAAAAAUGACUCAAACAUGGUGUAUGAGAUUACAUUCCAAAAUCGCUUUCUCAUUUGUCAAGUCAUGUUGCCCCCUCAACGACCCUGAAUAAUAGGCCAGGAACUUGCUAUCCCUACUGUUUACAUACAAAAAGUGAGAGGCAAAGUUACAUGACUUGCUCAGUCACUCAGCAGAACCACAGGACGCAACAAGGAAUUCUGUUCACUCUUCUCAAUCCAGAGGUCAUAGAAGAGUUUAGGGGAAUUGGCGCAUUUGCGCUUUUCACAAUCACAGACCCUCCUUUCCAUCUUUUAUCACCGAUGUCUCUCAUUUUUCCUUUAUCCCUCUUCCCACAGCAUGCAAGAUCAUCAAAAAACAUAUGUACAACUGGGUCAGCAUGGCGAUAAUUUUCUUUGACAGAUGAAAAUAAUGAAAGCACCGAGAGAUGAGUAAAAAGAGAGGGUUUGAUUACUGACCAAGUCAACACUGUCAGGGGUGUGACUUAGAGUCCAAGGUGCCUCUUCAGUGGCAGGAACUGCUCUGUUGGGAAGUUGGCUAAGGAUACAUGUGACAAGUGGGACAGUGGGUUGAAUAACAUCCCCCCAAAUGCAUAUCGAGCUAGAACCUCAUAAUGGGGCCUUAUAUGGAAAUAGGAUUCCAUACAUCCAAUUAAUUACAACAUCCAAUUAAUUACAUGUUGCAGAUGUAAUUAAUUAAGAGGAAGUUGUUUGGGAUUUGAAUGAGCCCUAAAUCCAAUGUCUCUUGUCCUUAAAAAGAAGAGAAGGGGACAUAUAGAAAUACAAACAGGGAUAAAGUCCAUGUGAGGCUGCAGAAAGGAGUGGGAGUGAAACAGCUACAGGACAGAGAAAGAAAAGAAUUGCUGAGAGCCUCCAGAAACUAGGAAGAGGCAAGGAUUCUUUCCUAGAAGGUUUACAGAGGGCAUGGCCCUGAGCAUCUUCGUUCCACUUCCAGCGUCUGAAACAGUGAGAUAAAUUUCUGUCGUUCUAAGUAACCCAGUUUGCAGUGUCUUAUUAUGGUGGCCCUGGAAAGCUAAUGUACAUGCAGACCUUGGAAGAAGCAAAGCAUCAGUAUCCUCUUCCAGAAGUUCAGAAAGUCCACUUUCUUCAGGAAAAGUGCUGGGGGAAGAGGACGUGUUGGAGGAGCAGGUGAGGAAGUGGUUUUUAGGGAGGGGUUUCAAGGAGAGAAACUGUACUUAUUGGUGACUAAUAUUCCAAGCUGUGUAUCUAUAGUUUACAAGCGUUUUCUCUCUUCAUUCUCACCAUAGUCCUGUGAUCUAAGUUUGACAUCCUUUUUUAAACUGAAGCUUAGAGAGCCUAUGCAUCUGCCUCAAAAUCACAAACUAAUAAAUGACAAAAUCAGGAACCAAAUCCGUUCUUCCUGACUCCUGUACAGGUAUUCCUUAAGCCUAAUUAAGUAACCCUCCAAGAGUAUAAUAAAUAAUCUUUCCCUGAGACUUUUAAAACCAGUCAGGACACAGUAACAAGGAACUCUCAGGAGAAAUAGUCCUCUCCGGGCAGAGCAGAGAGAUGAAAUUGGAUAUCCUAAUAGGUCUUUUCCAAGUCUAAUUACUCUCACUCUGUGUAAGGCGCCGACUAAAUGCAAGUUCAUUAUCAUUUUUUUUUCUAAGUUAACUGAAAAACAAGAUUGAUUGACAUUUUGGAGGUAUUCAACAUUUAUAUGCAGGAAAUUUGGGAGACUUUAAACACAUUCAAAAAAGCUUUUCUUAAGAUAGCUUGUGCUUUUUUUUUUUUUUUUAAACGUGAAAUACUCUGUACAAAAACAGAUGCUUUCUAAAAUAUCUUCCUGCUGCUCUUCCCAAGCUGAUGACCUUGGUGUACUCAGGACUUUGUAGGAAGUGUGCAGGCUUCCUCACGUGGAAAAGAAAAAAAAUACUGUAUUUCUUACCUAAAUUCCUCUGUGUUCACCCAGAAAUUCUGCCUCUCAAAUGUACUGAUUCUGACCUCUAUUCACAGCAGCCAAUAAGAAUAUUAUAAAUUAGGAUUAUAGUUAAAAGUACUCAUGUUUCAAAAAUAAAGAACAUCUGACAAUGAAAGUAACAUUGCAUAAAAGCACAGGUGAUGAAGGUCAGGGUUGAAUUCAUAAGUUGGUAGUAUUACUUCAGUCCUUUAGAAAAGAAUACCUCAGUUUUAACCAUGAGAUCCUGCUGUAUAGCACUUGGAAUUAUAUCUAGUCACUUAGAUGGAGCAUGAUAAUGUGAGAAAAACGAAUGUAUGUAUGUAUGUGUGACUGGGUCACCUUGCUGUACAGUAGAAAAAUGGCAGGACACUGUAAACCAGCUAUAAUGGAAAAAAUAAAAAUCAUUUAAUAAAGCAAUAAGUUUAAUGUUUACACUGGCUGUUUCUAUGCUAACAAAAAAAGAAAGAAAAAUAGAAGGAAGGAAGGCAAGCAAGCAAGAAAGAAAGAGAGGAAGGGAAGGAAGGAAGGGGAAGCAUAAAAGAAAGAAAAAUAAUUAAAAAAAAAACUUCAUAAAAUGUGAAGCCUGCAAAUUUUGUUUCUUAUCCUUCCUUGGUACCCUAACAUGUUGAUCUCGUAUAAAAGGAAACACGGGAUUUCCUGGGUGGCAGUGUGCUAACGAUCCAGCAUUGCCGCAGCUGUGGCACAGGUUGCAAUUGUGGCAGGGGUUUGAUCCCUGGCCUGGGAACUUCCAUAUGCCAUAGGUGUG
rnacentral:lncRNA from 1 species